AGAGUUUGAUCCUGGCUCAGGAUGAACGCUGGCGGUAUGCUUAACACAUGCAAGUCGAACGGGAUCUUUAGGGAUUCAGUGGCGGACGGGUGAGUAACGCGUGAGAAUCUGCCCUUAGGUUGGGGACAACCACUGGAAACGGUGGCUAAUACCGAAUAAGCCGCAAGGUAAAAGAUUAAUUGCCUAGGGAUGAGCUCGCGUCUGAUUAGCUAGUUGGUGGGGUAAUGGCCUACCAAGGCGACGAUCAGUAGCUGGUCUGAGAGGAUGAUCAGCCACAUUGGGACUGAGACACGGCCCAAACUCCUACGGGAGGCAGCAGUGGGGAAUAUUGGACAAUGGGCGCAAGCCUGAUCCAGCCAUGCCGCGUGAGUGAUGAAGGCCUUAGGGUUGUAAAGCUCUUUCGGCGGGGACGAUAAUGACGGUACCCGCAGAAGAAGCCCCGGCUAACUUCGUGCCAGCAGCCGCGGUAAUACGAAGGGGGCUAGCGUUGUUCGGAAUCACUGGGCGUAAAGGGCGCGUAGGCGGCCUGAUAAGUCGGGGGUGAAAGCCUGUGGCUCAACCACAGAAUUGCCUUCGAUACUGUCGGGCUUGAGACCGGAAGAGGUAAGUGGAACUGCGAGUGUAGAGGUGAAAUUCGUAGAUAUUCGCAAGAACACCAGUGGCGAAGGCGGCUUACUGGUCCGGUUCUGACGCUGAGGCGCGAAAGCGUGGGGAGCAAACAGGAUUAGAUACCCCGGUAGUCC
rnacentral:rRNA from 2 species